GUCGAGCGAGCUUGCCUAGAUGAAUUUGGUGCUUGCACCAAAUGAAACUAGAUACAAGCGAGCGGCGGACGGGUGAGUAACACGUGGGUAACCUGCCCAAGAGACUGGGAUAACACCUGGAAACAGAUGCUAAUACCGGAUAACAACACCAGACGCAUGUCUAGAGUUUAAAAGAUGGUUCUGCUAUCACUCUUGGAUGGACCUGCGGUGCAUUAGCUAGUUGGUAAGGUAACGGCUUACCAAGGCAAUGAUGCAUAGCCGAGUUGAGAGACUGAUCGGCCACAUUGGGACUGAGACACGGCCCAAACUCCUACGGGAGGCAGCAGUAGGGAAUCUUCCACAAUGGACGCAAGUCUGAUGGAGCAACGCCGCGUGAGUGAAGAAGGGUUUCGGCUCGUAAAGCUCUGUUGGUAGUGAAGAAAGAUAGAGGUAGUAACUGGCCUUUAUUUGACGGUAAUUACUUAGAAAGUCACGGCUAACUACGUGCCAGCAGCCGCGGUAAUACGUAGGUGGCAAGCGUUGUCCGGAUUUAUUGGGCGUAAAGCGAGUGCAGGCGGUUCAAUAAGUCUGAUGUGAAAGCCUUCGGCUCAACCGGAGAAUUGCAUCAGAAACUGUUGAACUUGAGUGCAGAAGAGGAGAGUGGAACUCCAUGUGUAGCGGUGGAAUGCGUAGAUAUAUGGAAGAACACCAGUGGCGAAGGCGGCUCUCUGGUCUGCAACUGACGCUGAGGCUCGAAAGCAUGGGGUAGCGAACAGG
rnacentral:rRNA from 1 species